GGGAUUGUGGCUCAGUGGUAGAGCUCUUGCCUAGCAUGUGGGAGGCACUGGGUUUGAUUCUCAGCACCA
rnacentral:tRNA from 1 species